rnacentral:rRNA from 1 species
GACGAACGCUGGCGGCGUGCUUAACACAUGCAAGUCGAACGGAAAGGCCCUGCUUUUGUGGGGUGCUCGAUUGGCGAACGGGUGAGUAACACGUGAGUAACCUGCCCUUGACUUUGGGAUAACUUCAGGAAACUGGGGCUAAUACCGGAUAGGAGCUCCUGCUGCAUGGUGGGGGUUGGAAAGUUUCGGCGGUUGGGGAUGGACUCGCGGCUUAUCAGCUUGUUGGUGGGGUAGUGGCGUACCAAGGCUUUGACGGGUAGCCGGCCUGAGAGGGUGACCGGCCACAUUGGGACUGAGAUACGGACCAGACUCCUACGGGCGGCAGCAGUGGGGAAUAUUGCACAAUGGGCGGAAGCGUGAUGCAGCAACGCCGCGUGCGGGAUGACGGCCUUCGGGUUGUAAACCGCUUUCGAAUGUGACGAAGCGUGAGUGACGGUAAUGGGUAAAGAAGCACCGGCUAACUACGUG